rnacentral:rRNA from 1 species
AGAGUUUGAUCCUGGCACAGGAUAAACGCUAGCGGCAGGCCUAACACAUGCAAGUCGAGCGGUAACGGGAGUAGCAAUACUUGCCGACGAGCGGCGGACGGGUGAGUAACGCGUAUGCAACCUACCCUUUAUUCAGGGAUAGCCUUCCGAAAGGAGGAUUAAUACCUGAUAGUACUCAAUGAGGGCAUCCAAAGUGAGUUAAAGAUUUAUUGAUAAAGGAUGGGCAUGCGUGGCAUUAGUUAGUUGGAGGGGUAACGGCCCACCAAGACGAUGAUGCCUAUGGGUUCUAAAAGGAAGGUCCCACACAUCGGUACUGAGACACGGACCGAACUCC